GAUGAACGCUGGCGGCGUGCUUAACACAUGCAAGUCGAACGAAGCUGCUAAAAGGAAGUCUUCGGACAGAAUUUUAGUAGACUUAGUGGCGGACGGGUGAGUAACGCGUGGAUAACCUGCCUUAUACAGGGGGAUAACGGAGAGAAAUUUCCGCUAAGACCGCAUAAGACCACAGCACCGCAUGGUGCAGGGGUAAAAUAUUUAUAGGUAUAAGAUGGAUCCGCGUCCGAUUAGCUAGUUGGUGAGGUAGAGGCUCACCAAGGCGACGAUCGGUAGCCGGCCUGAGAGGGUGAACGGCCACAUUGGGACUGAGACACGGCCCAAACUCCUACGGGAGGCAGCAGUGGGGAAUAUUGGACAAUGGGGGAAACCCUGAUCCAGCGACGCCGCGUGAGUGAAGAAGUAUUUCGGUAUGUAAAGCUCUAUCAGCAGGGAAGAAGAUGACGGUACCUGACUAAGAAGCCCCGGCUAACUACGUGCCAGCAGCCGCGGUAAUACGUAGGGGGCAAGCGUUAUCCGGAUUUACUGGGUGUAAAGGGAGCGCAGACGGCGAAGCAAGUCUGAAGUGAAAUGCAUGGGCUCAACCCAUGAAUUGCUUUGGAAACUGUUUGGCUUGAGUGUCGGAGGGGUAAGCGGAAUUCCUAGUGUAGCGGUGAAAUGCGUAGAUAUUAGGAGGAACACCGGAGGCGAAGGCGGCUUACUGGACGACAACUGACGUUGAGGCUCGAAGGCGUGGGGAGCAAACAGG
rnacentral:rRNA from 1 species